rnacentral:misc_RNA from 1 species
GAUGAAGAACGUAGCGAAAUGCGAUAAGUAAUGCGAAUUGCAGAAUUCCAGUGAGUCAUCGAAUCUUUGAACGCACAUUGCGCCCUUUGGUAUUCCGAAGGGCAUGCCUGUUCGAGCGUCAUUAUCACCCCUCAAGCCCUCGGCUUGGUGUUGGACGGUUUGGUGGAGGCCCCCUCGGGGGUUCCUGCCCCUCCCAAAGACAAUGACGGCGGCCUCGUUGGACCCCCGGUACACUGAGUUCUUCACGGGACACGUAUCGGACACAUGGGUUUACGGGACACGGUCUGCCUCCCCUCAGGGAGAAUCUUUCUAAGGUUGACCUCGGAUCAGGUAGGGAUACCCGCUGAACUUAAGCAUAUCAUAAGCGGAGGA